rnacentral:rRNA from 1 species
GAUGAACGCUGGCGGCGUGCCUAAUACAUGCAAGUCGAGCGAACGGACGAGAAGCUUGCUUCUCUGAUGUUAGCGGCGGACGGGUGAGUAACACGUGGAUAACCUACCUAUAAGACUGGGAUAACUUCGGGAAACCUGAGCUAAUACCGGAUAAUAUUUUGAACCGCAUGGUUCAAAAGUGAAAGACGGUCUUGCUGUCACUUAUAGAUGGAUCCGCGCUGCAUUAGCUAGUUGGUAAGGUAACGGCUUACCAAGGCAACGAUGCAUAGCCGACCUGAGAGGGUGAUCGGCCACACUGGAACUGAGACACGGUCCAGACUCCUACGGGAGGCAGCAGUAGGGAAUCUUCCGCAAUGGGCGAAAGCCUGACGGAGCAACGCCGCGUGAGUGAUGAAGGUCUUCGGAUCGUAAAACUCUGUUAUUAGGGAAGAACAUAUGUGUAAGUAACCGUGCACAUCUUGACGGUACCUAAUCAGAAAGCCACGGCUAACUACGUG